GCCUAACACAUGCAAGUCGAACGGGCUAGCAAUAGUCAGUGGCGCACGGGUGCGUAACACGUGGGUAAUCAACCCUUCAGCUUGGGAUAACGCCUUGAAAGGGGCGCUAAUACCGGAUACGGCGCGCGGGGCUUCGGCUCUGCACGAGAAAGAAACGCAAGGAUCACAGAGGGACGAGUCCGCGGCCCAUCAGCUAGUUGGUAAGGUAAGAGCUUACCAAGGCGAAGACGGGUAGCUGGUCUGAGAGGAUGGCCAGUCACACUGGAACUGAGACACGGUCCAGACUCCUACGGGAGGCAGCAGUGGGGAAUAUUGCGCAAUGGGCGGAAGCCUGACGCAGCCACGCCGCGUGAGCGAUGAAGGUCCUAGGAUCGUAAAGCUCUGUGGGGGGAGAAGAAUAAAGCCGGUGAAGAGCCGGCCUUGACGGUAUCCCUUUAGCAAGCACCGGCUAACUCCGUGCCAGCAGCCGCGGUAAUACGGAGGGGGCAAACGUUGCUCGGAAUCAUUGGGCGUAAAGCGCGCGUAGGCGGCUUGACAAGUUGAAUGUGAAAGCCCUGGGCUCAACCCAGGAAGUGCAUCCAAAACUGUCUCGCUUGAAUCUCGGAGGGGGUCAGAGAAUUCCUGGGUAGAGUGAAAUUCGUAGAUAUCGGGAGGAAUACCAGUGGCGAAGGGCUGACCUGACAAAAUUGACGCUCAGGUGAAAGCGUGGGGACAACAGGAUUAAUACCCUGGUAGUCCUGCCGUAAACGAUGAGUGCUAGAUGGUGGGGGAUUUGACCCCUUCGUCAUCGUAGCUAACGCGUUAAGCACUCCGCCUGGGAAGUACGGUCGCAAGACUAAAACUCAAAGGAAUUGACGGGGACCCGCACAAGCGGUGGAGCAUGUGGUUUAAUUCGACGCUGCGCAGAACCUUACCUGGGUUAAAUCCUUCAGAAUCCGGCCGAAAAGCUGGAGUGCCCUUCGGGGAAUUGAAGCGAAGGUGCUGCAUGGCUGUCGUCAGCUCGUGUCGUGAGAUGUUGGGUUAAGUCCCGCAACGAGCGCAACCCCUAUCGUCUGUUGCCAGCAUUAAGUUGGGCACUCAGACGAGACUGCCGGCCUAAACCGGAGGAAGGUGGGGAUGACGUCAAGUCCUCAUGGCCCUCAUGCCCAGGGCUACACACGUGCUACAAUGGCGAGUACAAUGGGUCGCGAAACCGCGAGGUGGAGCUAAACUCAAAAAACUUGUCUCAGUUCGGAUUGGAGUCUGCAACUCGACUCCAUGAAGCUGGAAUCGCUAGUAAUCGGAGAUCAGCACGCUCCGGUGAAUACGUUCCCGGGUCUUGUACACACCGCCCGUCACACCAUGGGAGUCGAUUGCUCCAGAAGUGGGAACCUCAACCUUCGGGAAAGGCCCUACCAAGGAGUGGUCGGUGACUGGGGUGAAGUCGUAACAAGGUAGCCGUAGGGGAACCUGCGGCUGGAUCACCUCCUU
rnacentral:rRNA from 1 species